AAGAAGGAUCCUUUGCGGGUAAAGUCAAUUGCUGCGGUUAUUAAACCACAACACCUUCCUCCCCGCUGAAAGUCUCCUAAAACCAAAAAGGCCUUCUUCAUACACGCGGCAUGGCUGCAUCAGGCUUGCGCCCAUUGUGCAAUAUUCCCACUGCUGCCUCCCGUAGGGGGCGGGGGCGGCGGGCCGGGCGGGGCGCGGAGGCGAUUU
rnacentral:rRNA from 1 species